CAAGAAAAUGUUUAAAUAAAAUGCAAUAGGUUUUUCAAGAAUUACCAAAACAGAUUUUCACAAACGCUCCUAUGUCUUUGGAGGAAGAUUGGAAACUGGUGUACGAGCCAAUACCCCAAGAAAAGAAGCCAACUUAAUGGCUUCAUCCCUUGCAAGAACACCCAUUUCAUUGUAUUGCACCCUAUCCUUCCCUUUUUUGUUUUAAGUCUUUUAUUUUGCCUAGGACUCAUAUUCAUACCUCUCUUGGAGUUACUACUUUUAGGAACAUCAACAUCAGGAACAACCAAAUUAGCACCAUCCCUCUUAGUACCAUCCAAAUAAACUCCAUCCAAAUCAGCACCAUCAAAAUAACUUCCAUCAAACUCAACUCCAUCCAUCUCAGAACCAUCCAAGUUAGCAAUACCAUCCAAAUCAAUCUCAUCUUCUUUAUCUUCUAAAUCAGUGUUAUCGGCAAAUAAGUUAUGAUAAUCAUCUUCCAAAUUAGGGUCCUCAUGAGAAGUACUAUUAGCCAAAGUGUGUUUUCC
rnacentral:lncRNA from 1 species